AGGAGAGGUCAGGCCAUCGCCCGGUUUUAUACCGGGAGGAAAGUCCGGACUCCGGAGAGCACGGCACCGGCUAAUCACCGGCUGUCGGGUGGUUGAACCACUCGGCAAGAGAGAGUGCCACAGAAACGAUACCGCCACGCCUGCACCCGCGGGUGCGGGGGUGGUAAGGGUGAAACGGUGGGGUAAGAGCCCACCGGUCGGCCGGUAACGGUCGGCGUCAUGGUAAACCUUGCCGGGAGCAAGGCCAAGCAGCGGGAGGGUCGCUCGUCCAUAUCCCGCGGGUAGGCUGCUGGAACGGUGCGGAGACGCACCGUCCAGAUAGAUGGUGGCCCAUGACAGAAUCCGGCUUAUCGGCCUCUCCCCACA
rnacentral:RNase_P_RNA from 1 species